ACACCAACUGCAGCCAUCAUAUCUUUUAUCAUGUCUUUCCUCAUUUUCAGAUUCCCCCCAAUGAGUCCAGGACUAUGUGGGCACUGAAUUUAUUGUUUUGUUAAAAAAAAAUUAGUGCGUGCCUAUUAUGAGAAAAUUGAUAAAGCACCUGAUUGCGUAGACUUGGCCCAAGAGUACUAGCACUGAGGGCUAACUACUUACUAGCAUUGUCCUAGGCCUGUCUUAUGGUGAAUGUGUGUUUAGAAAUCCAGAUGGAUGCAUACAAUUUAACACAUACCAUCAUGCUAUUCUGAGUGUUAGGAACUUUUAUUUUCCUUUAAUAAAAGACUUAAGCUUGUUCCAUGCCAGUCAGCAUGCUUCUAUACAGACCUUAAUGUUUCUGUAAUAGUUGCUUGUGUGUUUAUGUCACAGGUGUUUGUUUGUUUGUUUGUUUGUUUGUAUGUUUUGUUUUGUUUUGUUUAACCAAUUUGAUCUGAUUGACAUUUGUGGGUUAUGGUUUUCUAUCUGGAUGAGUAAAUCCUUUCUCGUUGUCAUCGCACCCUUUAGUAUGGUAGAGUCGUACUAAGUCAUGCUAUGAAAUUACAGCUGUUAUGACCCUGAGUAGCAUCAGGUGUCCUAGGAGGAGUGACCUCUGCAUGCAUCCAUGAGGGUGCAGAGAGAGGGGCCACCUCUUCCUUUAUCCUGCUGGACCCAUCUUUCCCUUUCCGCAGGUUAUUUUGGAGCAUGAGUCCAAUUUAGAAUGUCUUAAAAGCAUUUUCCCUCUUGCCAAGGUACAGAGAGGGCAAUGCUUUCUGAUUCUUAGAUAAUACUUUGCCUAGGGAUGUGCAUGGCCAGUGAAGGGCCUGCAGCUGCAGGCUAUUUUGAUGCUUUCUUGGCAACGCUUUGGUGUGUUUUUUUCUUUACUACUUCAUAUUAUUUCAGAAAGGACUGGGAAUAGAUUAGAAAGAUAUAAGCCAUCACUGCAUUGAGUUUACUUGAUGAUCAAAGGGAAAGGGGGCACAAGAAUAGGAAAGUGAGCAGAAAGCCGGGACUGGGCACUGUCCAUACAGUGCAGCGCACAGGAAAAGUGCAGUCGCCACCGUUGGCAGGACAAAACUGUUAACAUGGAUGGUUUGUCUGGUUAAACCACCGUGUUGGGUGAUGGCGUUGCUCAAGGUGGUGCGUCUCAAGCUUGGCCCUGAGCUCCCUUGAUGGGGAUGAGGUUACAUCUUUGUUUUGUUCAGAACCCCAGCCUCCUACUUGGAAGAAGCCCAGCUAUUUUUGAUGUUGAGGCCAAAGAGAAAAUUGAUUUAGGGAAGAGAGUUUUAAGCAGUCUAAAUUUAUGAUGGAAGACAGUCGCAGCUGGCAGGAUUGGAAAGGGCUGGCCUCCGUAGUAUUUUAGGAUCCAGUGAGGCCUAGUAGUUGGGUCAUGUGUUAGAGUGUUUUCUGGAGGGUACAGAUUCUUCUGGUGGCUUUGUCACUUUGCCAGUUCAAAGGUGGCUUAUGAAGAGCAAGGGCUUGCGAUCAGGGUAUCCUUGAUCAAAUACAAAGGACAGUGCAAGGGAGAGAAAGAAAAACCGAACUCAGAAAGAAAUACUGUCCUAUAAUCACUAAAAAAAAAAAAAACCACAGACAGUAGUCAGUGUGCAGAGAUGUGUGGGGGAAUUGGAGUAACCCCCAUAUAAUGAGUGCUAAUUGGGAAAUAAAAGGGUGUGGCUGUUUUUGAAAAAAACAUUUCUUCAGUAGAUUAGCACAUGGCCCUGACAUCCCAUUGCUAGACACACACUGAUGAGAAAUAAGAAGUAUGACCAGCUAUGCUAUGAAUGCUCAUAACCACAUUAUUUGUUAUAGACCAAAGUCCACUGUCAUCAGCUAGUGACUGGAGAGAGGUCCAUACUCUGUACGAUUCUGGUUUUGUGCACCAUCUGGAGUGAACAAAUCCAUAGAGGCAGGAAGCUGAUGAGUGGUUGCCUUGUAGGAGGCCCAGGGGGUAAUGGGAAAUGUCUGCUGAUGGGCACACAACUUUCCUUUGGCAGUAACUCCAAAUGUUCUAAACUUGAUGGUGAUGAUGGCUGGACACUCAGGUGAAUGUACAAAUGACAGUCGUUGGCUUGCACAUGUAAAAUUGUGACACUGAUGAAACAAUAGACAGAAUACUUAGAGCUGUAUGAUAAAAUGUCUAUUAAAUAAAUGUUGUAAAUACAAAGAAACACAUUCGGGAGCUGACCUCUGACUUUAUGACUCUCUUUACCUAAGUUAGAAACCAGCUUCUUGCAGGAGAGCCUGGGCAGGGCUGGCCUGGCCCUGGCUAUCCUUUCUAACACAGCCCUUGCUGAUCUCACUCUGUCUAGUUUUGACCGGCCUUGAACUAUACUUUGACAUUCUUUCUGAAGCUUUUAAGUUUUAGAGACAACAUAAACCUUGAGAGAGCAAUAUUUCCAAUUAGCUUUCUUAAACUGUUUGAAAAAUUGAUUGGUGGUGGCCUUGUCUCUGCUUUUAGGGAACUGGUGAGCCUGUCCAAGCAUCACCAGGCGGCUUGCUCUUGCUCUUCUCUCCCUGUCCUUUAUCCUCAAACCUUUCUACUUCUCUGCUGGAGAAGACAAUGAACGUACUGCGUUGUGGGUUCUCUCUCUCUCUCACUUGUUCUCGCUCUCUCUCACUCUCUCUUGCUCUCUUGCUCUCGUGUUUACAAUGGCAAGUCUUGUAUAGCUUUUGAAAUUAUAUGGGUAUAAGGUCAAAUUUGGAUUUCCUGUGAUAGAUUUUUAGUAUGUUUCAUUAGUGUUUUAAAAAUGUUUUCUUUGGCCAACUCAUUGUCACCUAAAACAUAAUAAAGGUCAUUAUUCAGUGAAGUGCACCGAUUUUAUGUAGUUUAUGUUAGCUUGUUGUAGUUUUGUGUAAGCAACCGAUUGUGAGGCUGACGAUGUAAUUCAGUGAAGGCUUGUCUAGUAUUUGCGGGUUCAGUCUGCAGACUCAUAAAAAGAGGGGAAGGAAGGGGGAUAGUAGAAGGUAGAUAGGGAGACAGAAGUUAUCAACAGGCACAAACCCACGUUGUUAAUUUAAAUUAAAUAAAAUUUAGUGCCUGAUAAGGCAUUAAAAUUGAGUCAUCCUGUUAUAUUAGC
rnacentral:lncRNA from 1 species